AGGACGAACGCUGGCGGCGUGCUUAACACAUGCAAGUCGAGCGGAAAGGCCCUUCGGGGUACUCGAGCGGCGAACGGGUGAGUAACACGUGAGCAAUCUGCCCUUAGCUUCGGGAUAGCUCCGGGAAACCGGAAUUAAUACCGAAUACGACCUCGGCCGACAUCGGCUUUGGUGGAAAGUUUUUCGGCUAGGGAUGAACUCGCGGCCUAUCAGCUUGUUGGUGGGGUAAUGGCCUACCAAGGCGACGACGGGUAGCCGGCCUGAGAGGGCGACCGGCCACACUGGGACUGAGACACGGCCCAGACUCCUACGGGAGGCAGCAGUGGGGAAUAUUGCGCAAUGGGCGAAAGCCUGACGCAGCGACGCCGCGUGGGGGAUGAAGGCCUUCGGGUUGUAAGUCCUUUGUUAGGAAGAAUAUUUGACGGUACCUAACGAAUAAGAGGUUGCUAACUCUGCGCCAGCAGCCGC
rnacentral:rRNA from 1 species